AACCCAUGAUUUGGGCAUCUUCUCAGCAUCAUCAUGAAUCUCUCCCAUGUCUCACCAAAAGAUUCCUCUACUCCUUGUCUGAACAUAGAAAUUUCAGACUUAGCUU
rfam:Phaseolus vulgaris cultivar G19833 chromosome 8, whole genome shotgun sequence.